AUCUACAGCCAUACCACCCUGAACACUCCUGAUCUCCUCUGAUCUUGAAAGCUAAGCAGGGUUGGUCCUACUUAGUACUUGGAUGGGAGAAAGAGAGAGACAGAGAGACCACAGCUC
rnacentral:rRNA from 1 species